CUCUGGGUCCACCUCCCAUCCGUGUCUAUCUGUACCCUGUUGCUUCGGCGUGGCCACGGCCCGCCGAAGACUAACAUUUGAACACUGUCUGAAGUUUGCAGUCUGAGUUUUUAGUUAAACAAUAAUUAAAACUUUCAACAACGGAUCUCUUGGUUCCGGCAUCGAUGAAGAACGCAGCGAAAUGCGAUAAUUAAUGUGAAUUGCAGAAUUCAGUGAAUCAUCGAGUCUUUGAACGCACAUUGCGCCCCCUGGUAUUCCGGGGGGCAUGCCUGUCCGAGCGUCAUUGCUGCCCUCAAGCACGGCUUGUGUGUUGGGCUUCCGUCCCUGGUAACGGGGACGGGCCCAAAAGGCAGUGGCGGCACCAUGUCUGGUCCUCGAGCGUAUGGGGCUUUGUCACCCGCUCCCGUAGGUCCAGCUGGCAGCUAGCCUCGCAACCAAUCUUUUUAACCAGGUUGACCUCGGAUCAGGUAGGGAUACCCGCUGAACUUAAGCAUAUCAAUAAGCGGAGGAA
rnacentral:rRNA from 1 species